CGCGUAGGCGGUCAUUUAAGUCAGCUGUGAAAUGGUUUGGCUUAACCGGAUCAUGCGGUUGAAACUGGAUGACUGGAGUGCUGGAGAGGCAAGUGGAAUCCCCAGUGUAGCGGUGAAAUGCGUAGAUAUUGGGAAGAACACCGGUGGCGAAGGCGACUUGCUGGCCAGUAACUGACGCUGAGGCGCGAAAGCCAGGGGAGCAAACG
rnacentral:rRNA from 1 species